rnacentral:ncRNA from 2 species
CCCGUCGAGGGGCGCUGCGACCGUUCCCGUGCACGAGCUUCACGGGAGCCGGCCAGGCUCGGCGCGGCACGUUCCACAACGGCGCCCGGUUGCU